rnacentral:hammerhead_ribozyme from 1 species
AUCCAGCCGACAAGUCCCAAAUUGGACUAAACGCGUGUCUUGAAU